GACUCUCCUUCAACAGUGCCUGGACCUCAGCCAGAGCCGCUGCUCAUAGCGAGAUAUACAAUUGAGAGAAUCCUGUUGGGCUGAAUCACCGCCUGGUACGGCAACUGCACCGCCCACAACUACAGGGCUCUCCGGAGGGUGGUGCGGUCUGCCCAACGCAUCACCGGGGGCAAACUACCUGCCCUCCAAGACACCUAAGGCACCCAGUGUCAUAGGAAGGCCAAAAAGAUCAUCAAGGACAACAACCACCCGAGCCACUGCCUGUUCACCCCGCAAUCAUCCAGAAGGCGAGAUACAGGAGGCCAGGGUGCAUUGGAAGACACCUGUGAGUGAGCAGCACGAGCCAGCUAGCGCUCUGGCAGUGGAGCCAACGCCUCAGCGGGAACCCGACUUUAUCUCCUCUUUAGAAACAUUUCCUAGGAGCCCAAAACACAGCCAACCUGACAGAAAGGGAGAGAUACAGGGCCAAUACUGGAGUUUACUUACAUCAUGUGCUGAACACCCUUUCAUUCCCUUAAUAUGCUGAUUUUCACGGUUUUGACCAUUCUGCCUGCCCUGACCCUGCCUGCCGUUCUGUAUCUUGCCACACCACACUGGAUUAUUGACCCCUGCCUGCUCUGACCCUGAGACUGCCUGCCGUUCUGGACCUUUUACACUCUAUCUGGAUUACUGACCUCUGCCUGCCCUUGACCUGUCGUUUUGCCUGCCCCCGUA
rnacentral:lncRNA from 1 species